UUUUGGGGUUGGUUAUGGGAUUUUGGGGGUCGGUUAUGGGGGUCAGUUGUGGGGUUUGGGGUCACUUGGGUUGGUUAUGGGGUCAGUCAGUUGGGGUGAUAGGGUCGGUUAUGGGGCUUGGGGUCAGUUAUGGGGUUUGGGGUCACUUGUGGGGUUGUUGGUUAUGGGGUUUUGGGGAUGGUUAUGGGGUGAUAGGGUCAGUUAUGGGGUUUGGGGUCACUUGUGGCCUCAAUUAUGGGGUCAGUUGGGGUGAUAGGGUCAGUUAUGGGGUGUGGGGUCACUUGGGUUGUUGGUUAUGGGGUUUGGGGUCAGUUGUGGGGUUGGUUAUGGGGUUUUGGGGUUGGUUAUGGGA
rnacentral:lncRNA from 1 species